rnacentral:rRNA from 1 species
UACGUAGGUGGCAAGCGUUAUCCGGAUUUACUGGGUGUAAAGGGCGUGUAGGCGGGAUGGUAAGUCAGAUGUGAAAACUAUGGGCUCAACCCAUAGCCUGCAUUUGAAACUAUCGUUCUUGAGUGUUGGAGAGGCAGGCGGAAUUCCGUGUGUAGCGGUGAAAUGCGUAGAUAUAUGGAAGAACACCAGUGGCGAAAGCGGCUCUCUGGUCUGUAACUGACGCUGAGGUUCGAAAGCGUGGGUAGCAAACAGG